GACCUCAAAUCAGGUAGGAUUACCCGCUGAACUUAAGCAUAUCAAUA
rnacentral:rRNA from 2 species